rnacentral:rRNA from 1 species
UACGUAGGGUGCGAGCGUUAAUCGGAAUUACUGGGCGUAAAGCGUGCGCAGGCGGUUGUGCAAGACAGAGGUGAAAUCCCCGGGCUUAACCUGGGGACUGCCUUUGUGACUGCAUGGCUAGAGUGUGUCAGAGGGGGGUAGAAUUCCACGUGUAGCAGUGAAAUGCGUAGAGAUGUGGAGGAAUACCGAUGGCGAAGGCAGCCCCCUGGGAUAACACUGACGCUCAUGCACGAAAGCGUGGGGAGCAAACAGG